GCUUUUGUUCCGAACGGAGUUUCCUUCAAUGUUUCACGUAGGACAAGGUCUACAACUAAGGAGGUUUUCUACCCGUCGUUUCCAGACAACCCGAAUCUGUGCCCAGUGUUAUGCCUUAAGGAAUACGAGCGCCGCACGAGCUCGCUCCGUCCUGAUCAAACCCAUCCAUUAUUCAUCUCGUUCAGAGUACCGCACCUACCAGUAUCUACUCCUACUUUAGCUCGUUGGAUCAAAUGGUUAUUAUCCGUGGCAGGCAUAGACACUUCAAUUUUCUCCUCACACUCCAUUCGCAGGGCGAUGGAUUCUAAAGCUUCCAUGAUAGGUUGUAGAUUGGAAGACAUCUUACGAGCAGCUGAUUG